CCCACUCCUUUGUUUAAAUUAAAUCCCACACGGCGCUGUAGCGGGCAAGGAGGGGAAGAAGAAAUCGAAAUAUCCCGCUGCUUCGAUCGCCUGCUUUGAUCGCCGUCAUGAAGAGAUCCGGGGCGAUGGUGGCCGCCGCCUCGGCCGUCGCGGGCUCCACCGCCGCCCUCACCGCCGCCGCCACUGCGGCGCUCUCCGAUUCCUCCUCCGAUCCCAAGUCCCAACCUCCUGCCCAGGUAAUUGUUUGCUAAUUUCCAGCUGGAUUGACCUAAUUUCUAUUUUUAUAAUUUUCUCUUCUUCUCUUUGGUUAAAAUCAAAGAACGCGUCGUCUAAGUUGGUAUUUAUUCUUCUAGUCCGGCGAGAGCGAGGAGCAGCGGCGGUCGUCUUCCGCGACGGAUAGAUUUGCUCCGAGAUUCGAUGGAUUGCGGUUUAUUGAGACGCUUGUGACGGCUCAUCGAUGAGGAUUAGAAAGCUAGGAGUGCCCGCUCUCUCCUCUCUCUCUUCUUUCUUGGGGUUAGAGUAGCUAAACAUGUCUGAUGAUUGGUGAAAUGUAACGUUUGAUUGGCUGUAAUUGUAAUUAAUCUUGAGAAAGUGGAAGGUAUUUGCUGUGAUCAUUGUUAUGCGGAGAAAAA
rnacentral:lncRNA from 1 species